rnacentral:rRNA from 1 species
GAUGAACGCUGGCGGCGUGCCUAAUACAUGCAAGUCGAGCGAACGGACGAGAAGCUUGCUUCUCUGAUGUUAGCGGCGGACGGGUGAGUAACACGUGGAUAACCUACCUAUAAGACUGGGAUAACUUCGGGAAACCGGAGCUAAUACCGGAUAAUAUUUUGAACCGCAUGGUUCAAAAGUGAAAGACGGUCUUGCUGUCACUUAUAGAUGGAUCCGCGCUGCAUUAGCUAGUUGAUAAGGUAACGGCUUACCAAGGCAACGAUGCAUAGCCGACCUGAGAGGGUGAUCGGCCACACUGGAACUGAGACACGGUCCAGACUCCUACGGGAGGCAGCAGUAGGGAAUCUUCCGCAAAGGGCGAAAGCCUGACGGAGCAACGCCGCGUGAGUGAUGAAGGUCUUCGGAUCGUAAAACUCUGUUAUUAGGGAAGAACAUAUGUGUAAGUAACUGUGCACAUCUUGACGGUACCUAAUCAGAAAGCCACGGCUAACUACGUG